AGCAAAAGAAACCAACAGGGAUUCCCCUAGUAACGGCGAGUGAAGCGGGAACAGCUCAAAUUUGAAAUCUGGCCCUCGGGUCCGAGUUGUAAUUUGUAGAGGAUGCUUUUGGUGCGGUGCCUUCCGAGUUCCCUGGAACGGGACGCCUUAGAGGGUGAGAGCCCCGUACGGUUGGACGCCUAGCCUCUGUAAAGCUCCUUCGACGAGUCGAGUAGUUUGGGAAUGCUGCUCUAAAUGGGAGGUAUAUUUCUUCUAAAGCUAAAUACUGGCCAGAGACCGAUAGCGCACAAGUAGAGUGAUCGAAAGAUGAAAAGCACUUUGAAAAGAGGGUUAAAUAGCACGUGAAAUUGUUGAAAGGGAAGCGUUUAUCACCAGACUUUUUCUAGGGGGAUCAUCCGGUGUUCUCACCGGUGCACUUCCCCUGGUUGAGGCCAGCAUCGGUUUUCGGAGGGGGAUAAAAGCUUCGGGAAUGUGACUCCCUCGGGAGUGUUAUAGCCCGUUGCAUAAUACCCUUCUGGGGACCGAGGUUCGCGCAUCUGCAAGGAUGCUGGCAUAAUGGUGAUCAACGAC
rnacentral:rRNA from 1 species